rnacentral:rRNA from 1 species
AGCGAACGCUGGCGGCAGGCCUAACACAUGCAAGUCGAACGAACCCUUCGGGGUUAGUGGCGGACGGGUGAGUAACACGUGGGAACGUGCCUUUAGGUUCGGAAUAACUCAGGGAAACUUGUGCUAAUACCGAAUGUGCCCUUCGGGGGAAAGAUUUAUCGCCUUUAGAGCGGCCCGCGUCUGAUUAGCUAGUUGGUGAGGUAAUGGCUCACCAAGGCUACGAUCAGUAGCUGGUCUGAGAGGAUGACCAGCCACAUUGGGACUGAGACACGGGCCAAACUCCUACGGGAGGCAGCAGUGGGGAAUCUUGCGCAAUGGGCGAAAGCCUGACGCAGCCAUGCCGCGUGGAUGAUGAGGGUCUUAGGAUUGUAAAAUCCUUUCACCGGUGAAGAUAAUGACUGUAGCCGGAGAAGAAGCCCCGGCUAACUUCGUGCCAGCCGCCGCGGUAAAAC